UAGUCACUGCGAUAUUGGCCCGGUUCAUUCAGAGCUUAAGCGUUUAAGCUGAAUGCUUGCUGGUGGACUUUGAUUGAGCCGUGCCAAUAUCUUAGUGCUUACU
rfam:Citrus sinensis cultivar Ridge Pineapple sweet orange scaffold00002_contig_582, whole genome shotgun sequence.